rnacentral:lncRNA from 1 species
AAAAUACAAGUACAAAGGGGAGUACAAUGGUGGUCUCUAUACAUGGUAACAAAACUCUCUCUCACCAAAAACCAAAAGAGAGAAUGACCACCUAGGAGCAAAACUGGCUCCACUAGCUAGCUAGGCGAUCUUCUUGCCGCGAUCCCGUGCCUCCACCGGUGUUGAAGGCUCUGAAAUAAAACCAUAAAACAGGGGGCGUGAGAACUAUUAAAUAAUAGUUCCCAGUGGGCAAUUACUGACUUCAGUGAAAUGCGCCACUAGGCCCAAGCGUGAAAAGGGUAAGUAGAUACACGAUAAUUACAAUAAGUAUGUAAAUAG